GGCGAACGCUGGCGGCGUGCCUAAUACAUGCAAGUCGAGCGCGGGAAGCUUGCGGAAUCCUUCGGGAGGAAGUGAGUGGACCGAGCGGCGGACGGGUGAGUAACACGUGGGCAACCUGCCCGUAAGACGGGGAUAACCCCGGGAAACCGGGGCUAAUACCGGAUAGGUGACCUUUCUGCAUGGAGGGGUCAUGAAAGGCGGCGGAAGCCGUCGCUUACGGAGGGGCCCGCGGCGCAUUACCUAGUUGGUGAGGGAAGGGCUCACCAAGGCGACGAUGCGUACCCCGCCUGAGAGGGUGAACGGCCACACUGGGACUGAGACACGGCCCAAACUCCUUCGGGAGGCAGCAGUAGGGAAUCUUCCGCAAUGGACGGAAGUCUGACGGAGCAACCCCGCGUGAGUGAGGAAGGCCUUCGGGUCGUAAAGCUCUGUUUGUUCGUGAAAGAAGGGGUUGGCCAGGAAAUGGGCCGACAUUGACGGUAGCGAACCAGAAAGCCCCGGCUAACUACGUGCCAGCAGCCGCGGUAACACGUAGGGGGCAAGCGUUGUCCGGAAUGAUUGGGCGUAAAGGGCGCGCAGGCGGCCUCUUAAGUCUGAUGUGAAAGCCCACGGCUCAUCCGUGGAGGGACAUUGGAAACUGGGGGGCUUGAGUGCAGGAGAGGGGAGUGGAAUUCCACGUGUAGCGGUGAAAUGCGUAGAGAUGUGGAGGAACACCAGUGGCGAAGGCGGCUCUCUGGCCUGUGACUGACGCUGAGGCGCGAAAGCGUGGGGAGCGAACAAGAUUAGAUACCCUGGUAGUCCACGCCGUAAACG
rnacentral:rRNA from 1 species